rnacentral:rRNA from 1 species
CGUUAGUGGCGGACGGGUGAGUAACGCGUGGGUAACCUGCCUCACACUGGGGGAUAACAGUUAGAAAUAGCUGCUAAUACCGCAUAAGCGCACAGUUCCGCAUGGAACAGUGUGAAAAACUCCGGUGGUACAAGAUGGACCCGCGUCUGAUUAGCUGGUUGGUGAGGUAACGGCCCACCAAGGCGACGAUCAGUAGCCGGCCUGAGAGGGUGAACGGCCACAUUGGGACUGAGACACGGCCCAAACUCCUACGGGAGGCAGCAUG